AUUGAACGCUGGCGGCAGGCCUAACACAUGCAAGUCGAGCGGUAGCACAGAGAGCUUGCUCUCGGGUGACGAGCGGCGGACGGGUGAGUAAUGUCUGGGAAACUGCCUGAUGGAGGGGGAUAACUACUGGAAACGGUAGCUAAUACCGCAUAACGUCGCAAGACCAAAGUGGGGGACCUUCGGGCCUCAUGCCAUCAGAUGUGCCCAGAUGGGAUUAGCUGGUAGGUGGGGUAACGGCUCACCUAGGCGACGAUCCCUAGCUGGUCUGAGAGGAUGACCAGCCACGCUGGAACUGAGACACGGUCCAGACUCCUACGGGAGGCAGCAGUGGGGAAUAUUGCACAAUGGGCGCAAGCCUGAUUCAGCCAUGCCGCGUGUGUGAAGAAGGCCUUCGGGUUGUAAAGCACUUUCAGCGGGGAGGAAGGCAUUAAGGUUAAUAACCUUAGUGAUUGACGUUACCCGCAGAAGAAGCACCGGCUAACUCCGUGCCAGCAGCCGCGGUAA
rnacentral:rRNA from 1 species